rnacentral:rRNA from 1 species
UACGAAGGUCCCGAGCGUUGUUCGGAAUCACUGGGCGUAGAGGGAGCGUAGGCGGCGUGGUAAGUCAGAUGUGAAAUCCCGGGGCUCAACCCCGGAACUGCAUCCGAUACUGCCAUGCUAGAGGAUUGGAGAGGUAGCUGGAAUUCUUGGUGUAGCAGUGAAAUGCGUGGAGAUCAAGAGGAACACUCGUGGCGAAAGCGAGCUACUGGACAAUAUCUGACGCUGAGGCUCGAAGGCCAGGGUAGCGAAAGGG